GGCGUUGGUAGCGCACUUGGUCAAGCACGCGCCCCUGGAAAUGGUAAAAUACGGGUUCGAGUCCCGCGUGACGUCG